rnacentral:tRNA from 1 species
GGGCCCGUGGUCUAGUGGUUAUGACGUUUCGUUUACACCGAAAAGAUCGAAGGUUCGAUUCCUUCCGGGCCCA